AGAGUUUGAUCAUGGCUCAGAUUGAACGCUGGCGGCAGGCUUAACACAUGCAAGUCGAACGGUAACAGGGAGAAGCUUGCUUCUUUGCUGACGAGUGGCGGACGGGUGAGUAAUGCUUGGGAAUCUGGCUUAUGGAGGGGGAUAACUACGGGAAACUGUAGCUAAUACCGCGUAAUAUCUUCGGAUUAAAGGGUGGGACUUUCGGGCCACCUGCCAUAAGAUGAGCCCAAGUGGGAUUAGGUAGUUGGUGGGGUAAAGGCCUACCAAGCCGACGAUCUCUAGCUGGUCUGAGAGGAUGACCAGCCACACUGGAACUGAGACACGGUCCAGACUCCUACGGGAGGCAGCAGUGGGGAAUAUUGCACAAUGGGGGGAACCCUGAUGCAGCCAUGCCGCGUGAAUGAAGAAGGCCUUCGGGUUGUAAAGUUCUUUCGGUGAUGAGGAAGGUGUUUGUUUUAAUAGAACAAGCAAUUGACGUUAGUCACAGAAGAAGCACCGGCUAACUCCGUGCCAGCAGCCGCGGUAAUACGGAGGGUGCGAGCGUUAAUCGGAAUGACUGGGCGUAAAGGGCACGCAGGCGGUGACUUAAGUGAGAUGUGAAAGCCCCGAGCUUAACUUGGGAAUUGCAUUUCAUACUGGGUCGCUAGAGUAUUUUAGGGAGGGGUAGAAUUCCACGUGUAGCGGUGAAAUGCGUAGAGAUGUGGAGGAAUACCGAAGGCGAAGGCAGCCCCUUGGGAAUAUACUGACGCUCAUGUGCGAAAGCGUGGGGAGCAAACAGGAUUAGAUACCCUGGUAGUCCACGCUGUAAACGCUGUCGAUUUGGGGAUUGGGCUUAGAGCUUGGUGCCCGUAGCUAACGUGAUAAAUCGACCG
rnacentral:rRNA from 1 species